rnacentral:rRNA from 1 species
CCUACGGGUGGCAGCAGUGAGGAAUAUUGGUCAAUGGACGCGAGCCUGAACCAGCCAAGUAGCGUGAAGGAUGACUGCCCUAUGGGUUGUAAACUUCUUUUAUAUGGGAAUAAAACAUGGUAUGCAUACCCUUUUGUAUGUACCAUAUGAAUAAGGAUCGGCUAACUCCGUGCCAGCAGCCGCGGUAAUACGGAGGAUCCGAGCGUUAUCCGGAUUUAUUGGGUUUAAAGGGAGCGUAGGUGGAUUGUUAAGUCAGUUGUGAAAGUUUGCGGCUCAACCGUAAAAUUGCAGUUGAAACUGGCAGUCUUGAGUACAGUAGAGGUGGGCAGAAUUCGUGGUGUAGCGGUGAAAUGCUUAGAUAUCACGAAGAACUCCGAUUGCGAAGGCAGCUCACUGGACUGCAACUGACACUGAUGCUCGAAAGUGUGGGUAGCAAACAGGAUUAGAUACCCGUGUAGUC